rnacentral:rRNA from 1 species
CCCGACUGCUAUUUGGGUGAGGAUAAGCCAUGCGAGUUGAAUGGGAAACCUAAAGUUCCCAUGGCAAACUGCUCAGUAACACAUGAUCAACUUACCCUAUAGAGAAAAAUAACCACGGGAAACUGAGGAUAAUGUUUCAUAGUUGAAUUGGCUUGGAAAAGUUUUUCGACGAAAGGGGUAAAAAAAAUGGUUUUUAUCUGCUAUAGGAUAGGAUCGUGUUCGAUUAUGGUUGUUGGUGAGGUAAUGGCUCACCAAGCCGAUAAUCGAUAGGGGCCGUGAGAGCGGGAGCCCCGAGAUGGGUACUGAGACAACGACCCAGGCCUUACGAGGCGCAGCAGGCGCGAAACCUCCGCAAUACACGAAAGUGUGACGGGUUACCCAAAGUGUUCAAUUUUGAACUGUGGUAGGUGAGUAAUGUUCCCUACUAGAAAGGGGAGGGCAAGGCUGGUGCCAGCCGCCGCGGUAAAACCAGCUCUUCAAGUGGUCGGGAUAAUAUUGGGCUUAAAGUGUCCGUAGCCGGUUUGGUAAGUUCCUGGUAAAAUCGGGUAGCUUAACUAUCUAUAUGCUAGGAAUACUGCUAUACUAGAGGGCGGGAGAGGUCUGAGGUACUGCAGGGGUAGGGGUGAAAUCUUAUAAUCCUUGUUGGACCACCAGUGGCGAAGGCGUCAGACUGGAACGCGCCUGACGGUGAGGGACGAAAGCCAGGGGAGCGAACCGGAUUAGAUACCCGGGUAGUCCUGGCCGUAAACGAUGCAUACUAGGUGAUGGCACGGCCAUGAGCCGUGUCAGUGCCGUAGGGAAACCGUUAAGUGUGCCGCCUGGGAAGUACGGUCGCAAGGCUAAAACUUAAAGGAAUUGGCGGGGGAGCACCACAAGGGGUGAAGCCUGCGGUUCA